CGGUAUCCAGAUAUCAAAUUGGGAUUUUUGAAUGUUGUUGAUUUACUGUAGUCUGAUUCUUCCUUCUUCCAUUCUCUCUUUUCAUCGCCUGCUCACUUUCUCUGUACCACAAGCACCCCAUACCCCCACUACUAGCUCUAUCUCCGCCGGAUUAAGUGCUCCUUGUACUGGGUGAAAGAGUUAAGAACAACCCAGCAAACGUGAGGAAAGGGAGCAACAAAUUGCCAAUGAAAUCAAACAACUCAUACCUAAAUCACAUUUGAAGACAGAAGUAUCGACACCAUUAAUGGCUAGAAUAUCGAUAAGGUUUGGGUCAUCGAGUUUGAUGAUGGUGAACCAUCUUUGCUGAACCUGACUCUGUCGACCUUGCGUCCUCGCCCUUCUUGAUGGCAUUCACGAAUUUGGUUUGGGGGGUAACAAGAAGAAGAUUUUGAGCAACGUGGAGGAGCUGAACGGACUUGAUUUGCUGGGUUGAAGAGCAGUAAGUGGUCACUAAAUACAGAAAGAUGAAAAGAAGAAGCCGAUGGAAAGAGAUGGAUUCAAGAAUUAUCUCUGAAACCAGAGUGGCAGAGGGUGAGAACUAUCGGGAUGACGGAGUUGGACGUGGUGGAUCCGGAUCGGGUAUAAGCAUGGAGCGAGAUGGGUUGACCCUUGGUGAAGUAGUUCUUCGAGGUGGUUGCCUCACGUUGCGCUACUUGAAAGAUCCAAAAGAACUCCAGGUGCUUCAAGAAUGGAUGGUUCUACAGUUGGGGCGUGGGAGUGAUGCAUCCAGAUGGGUACUUAGAGAUUAAAGAUCGAUCAAAGGACGUGAUCAUAAGUGGGAGUGAGAAUCUGAAUGGCGUGGAGGCUGAAUCAAUGCUGUACAACCACCCGGCGGUGAACGAGGCGACGGUGGCGGCGAGGCCGGAUGAGUUCUGGGGAGAGACACUGUGUGCGUUCAUUCGAUUGAAGGAGGGAUCAGAGAAGACGCCGACAGAAAUAAUUUUUAAACAAAAAAAAAAAAGCCACGUGACAUGCUUAUUAGACACGCUAGAUAAGAUUGUUUUGGUCAAACAUAGGCUGACUCAUCAAUUUCACAGUCAAAUUAACCGAUCUCUUACUAUGGGAUAUGGGUAUACUAUUUUAAUUACUUUAAGGAUGAACUUGCACCAUAAAUUAUUUUAGGUCAUUGGAUAUAUCCAGAAAAAUACUUAGGAGUGUUGGAUA